rnacentral:rRNA from 1 species
UACGUAGGGCGCAAGCGUUGUCCGGAAUUAUUGGGCGUAAAGAGCUCGUAGGUGGUUUGUCGCGUCUGCCGUGAAAACCCGAGGCUUAACCUCGUGGCUUGCGGUGGAUACGGGCAGACUAGAGGUAGGUAGGGGAGAAUGGAAUUCCCGGUGUAGCGGUGAAAUGCGCAGAUAUCGGGAGGAACACCGGUGGCGAAGGCGGUUCUCUGGGCCUUACCUGACGCUGAGGAGCGAAAGCGUGGGGAGCAAACAGG